rnacentral:tRNA from 1 species
GGCGCCGAUGACAGGCGCAGCGGUAGCGCGCUUCCCUGACGCGGAAGAAGGUCGCUGGUUCGAUCCGGUGUGGCGCCA